ACCAGAAAAGAGGAUGGUCCCGUAUUAGCCAAAAGCAUGCAAUAUCAGGAACUUCCAUCCAGGCAAGCGUUACGAAAAGGGGUCCAUUGGAUACUGACAGUGAUAGAUGGUACCCGAAAGAAAGGCACAGAAUGAGUCAGGUUCUCGAUUGCCGCCCCCUGUGGUGCAUAAACGAGCUGGCAGGCUCUUCGUUGAGACAGUGAUUCUUUCAUGGCAAUCCCUUAAGUCAACCACUCUAGCAUAUCGAUUUGGAAUUCAAGUUUAU
rnacentral:lncRNA from 1 species